ACCAUUUUAUUAUUAGUAGAUUAGUGAAAAUUUGAUUUGAAAAAUGCAUGGGAGAGACUAUUUAUAGAUUUUUUAAAGCUUAUUUGAAUAGUCACAACCCUUCAAUAUGAGUAGUCACAUUCUUCUAAUACUCACAACUUCUCACUUUUUAAAAGAUACUAGUGAAUAGUCACAACUUUUAGACUAUUUUUAGAAGGACACAACCUUACAACAUAUAACUUUUAGAAAAGACACAACCCUCUACACAUAUUUUUCAAAAGACACAACCUUUCAACAUAAUUGAAAUUCACAACCUUAGAAAUUAAUUAGAAAAGACACAACCUUACAACAUAGAACUUUUAGAAAAGACACAACCCUUUACACUACUUUUUCAAAAGACACAACCUUUCAACAUAAGUGGAUUCACAACCUUAAAAAUUAAUUGGAAAAGACACAACCUUCCAACACGCGACGAUACGGAAUGGCUUCGAGGUUCAAGGACUCCAUGGGAGAAGAUAUUCACCAUUUUUUCUUUGUCUCAAGUUUUUCUGAAUAUACCGUCGUUGAUAUCGCUCAUCUCGUUAAAAUCUCUCCUGAAUUCCCGUUGAUAGAGCGGUUUUGCUCAGCUGCGGUGUCUCCACAGGAAUUGGAGCAGCUUGGAAAACGGCUGACAUUGAAGAAGGCUCCACCGUUGCAGUUUUUGGCCUUGGUGCUGUUGGACUAGCGGUUGGAGAAGGAGCCAGGCUGCGGGGGGCAGC